AUAGAUAAGUAUAAAUAAAGAAAAUCUAUUAAAACGUAAAACUUUGAGUCCAAAAAAUUGCUUUUUUCGUAUUCCUUAAGAAGAAAACCACUUAUUAAAGAAACGACAUUUUCCUGAAAGAUAAAGGUGGAUGAUUUAGGGUCCAAAAUUAAUAAUGCAUUAAACAAAGAUGUUAUAGCAAAGGAGGCAUUAUAUAAUAAUUUUUUCAUUGAAUAAUUUAAAAUCGACGAUGAUGUUUGAACGACAGAUUGUACAUAAUUGGAGGAAUCCAUAGAUAGAUCGGGACUGUAUAUUAGAGCUUUCAAGUUAUUAAACAAACAUUCACCUUCCUCCUCUCCUUCAAUUGUUUCUAAUGAAUGCAUACAACCACCAAAUACGUAUGCUAAAGUUCUAGAAGACUAGAAAAGUAAGAAAAGGGAAUAAAAUUUAACACGACAGUUUAAAAAUACUUACAAAAUACAAAUCUUCUCUUUUUUGUAGAGAAAGUAAAUCUUUCAUCAGGCUCAAAGACAAACUUGCAUCUGAUAUAGCAAUACUAGAACUCACACUAUCCGUUGAAGCAUCUUCAGCAGUAGCAACACUUGUUUUGCGCUUCUUUUUAGAAGGGCUGUUUUUUGCAGCAUGCUUUGUGCUCUUAGCAAGCUGAUCAGAAGAAGAUAACAAUUUAUUGUCACCAUCUUCUUCAUGGGAUUUUUUCAUAAUCGGAGAAUUCUUUACAUCUCUUUUCAUUUUUUUCAUAGUUUCGAUAGCAUCCUGUGCUUCACGCUCAUGAAAUAGGGAUUUCGUUUUUGCGUAUUCAAUUUCUUUUUUAAGCUCCUCUAAUUUCCGUUGGUAUUCAUCUUGCUUUUGCUUUAUAGAAUUAUUUAACGAUUCUAGGGCGGCAUUAUUAGCUUCGGAUUGUUUUAGAAGGUUAGCACGAAGAAUUGCAUUUUCUCCCGACUUAAUUAAAAGUUCUGUUCGAAGGUCAUUAGAGGAUAAUGAGGCUUGUGAGUUUACGGUAGAUUCCCGGACUUUUUGAGAAGAAUUGGUGUAUGAAUUUGGAAGAUUUAAAUUUUGCUUUUGCUUUUCACUCGGUACAACUACUUGAGAACUUUGAGCUUGAACCUGGGUUUGAGCUUGUUGCUCUAAUUCAUCUAAAUUCACGCCUUCAAAUAUUUCAUCCGAACCCAAACUCUCCAAGUCAAAACUUUCAUCAGCCAUCAUUUUGUUUGUAGCUUUCACUCUCGUUUAUGCGUAACAAUAGUUGUUUGAAGUGAUUCCAAAUUGUAAUAUGGGCCCAAUGUUUUUCUUAUUCUGUAAAAAAGAAUUGAAUUCAUAAUAAAUCGUAAAUUGUUUCAAAUACUUUCAGCAACCUUGGUAACUGU